AAUGUGGAGCCUGAAUUUAAAGGGUUAUUUGGAUGUGAUAAAUUUGUAAACUUUACCUACAUUA
rnacentral:tRNA from 1 species